GAAAGCGUGGGUAGCGANCAGGAUUAGAUACCCUGGUAGUNCACGCCGUAAACGAUGAGUGCUAGGUGUUAGGCCCUUUCCGGGGCUUAGUGCCGGAGCUAACGCAAUAAGCACUCCGCCUGGGGAGUACGACCGCAAGGUUGAAACUCAAAGGAAUUGACGGGGGCCCGCACAAGCGGUGGAGCAUGUGGUUUAAUUCGAAGCAACGCGAAGAACCUUACCAGGUCUUGACAUCCCGAUGCUAUUCUUAGAGAUAGGAAGUUACUUCGGUACAUCGGAGACAGGUGGUGCAUGGUUGUCGUCAGCUCGUGUCGUGAGAUGUUGGGUUAAGUCCCGCAACGAGCGCAACCCUUAUUGUUAGUUGCCAUCAUUAAGUUGGGCACUCUAGCGAGACUGCCGGUAAUAAACCGGAGGAAGGUGGGGAUGACGUCAAAUCAUCAUGCCCCUUAUGACCUGGGCUACACACGUGCUACAAUGGUCGGUACAACGAGUUGCGAGCCGGUGACGGCAAGCUA
rnacentral:rRNA from 1 species